AAGUCGUAACAAGGUUUCCGUAGGUGAACCUGCGGAAGGAUCAUUACAGAGUUGGGGUCCCUCGGGGCCCGAUCUCCACCCUUUGUCGUCGCGAAUCUUGUUGCUUUGGCGUGGCCCGCCGGACCCCCUUCACCGGGGGCGAGGCGACCGGGCUCUUGACCGGCCCGGGCAGCCGCCCGCCAGAGGACCAAAACCAAACUCUUCUUGAAAACCCAUGCGGUCAGAGUAAAAAUGAUAAAUAAAUCAAAA
rnacentral:misc_RNA from 1 species